CGCCGGCGCAGGCGCGCGGCGGGCUGCGCGCGGCCCGGGGCGACGUGGACGCCGCGCACCACCUGCUGUGCGCGCGCCGGGACCAGCGCGACGAGGCGCGCCGCCAGCACGCCGAGGACAGGCAGGCGCGGCUGCUGGGCGUGUGCCUGGACGGGUCGGCCGUGAACGCGCGCCUGGUGGACGGGCUGGUGGCCAUGGGCUACGGCCGCCGCCUGGCCGUGCUGGCGCUGCGCAACGCCAACAACCACGUCUCCGACGCCGUGCGCCUCAUCCAGGACCAGCCCGACAUGUUGGUGGACAGCGAGCAAUCGUCAGAAGAAACAGAAACGCCCAGCUCCGACGACUCUGCCGUUGAACCGGACUCCAAAUUGCUUUCCGAGCUAGAAGCAAUGGGCUACGUGACGGAAG